GACGAACGCUGGCGGCGUGCUUAACACAUGCAAGUCGAACGGUGAAGCGCCUUCCUUUUUGGUGGGUGUGGUUGAGUGGCGGACGGGUGAGUAACACGUGAGUAACCUUCCCCCUUCUUCUUGAUAACCGCAUUAAAGUGUUGCUAAUACUGGAUAUUCUGGCUCUGUCGCAUGAUGGGUCUGGGAAAGAUAUUGUUUCGGUGGGGGAUGUGCUCGCGGCCUAUCAGCUUGUUGGUGGGGUGAUGGCCUACCAAGGCGGUGACGAGUAGCCGGCCUGAGAGGGUGGACGGCCGGACUGGGGCUGAGGCACGGCCCAGACUCCUACGGGGGGCAGCAGUGGGGAAUAAUGCACAAUGGGGGGAAGACUGAUGCAGCGACGCCGCGUGAGGCAUGGAGGCCUGCGGGUUGUGAACCUCUUUCGCCAGUGAAGCAGGCCUGCCUCGUUUGUGGGUGGGUUGACGGUAGCUGGAGAAGAAGCGCCGGCUAACUACGUG
rnacentral:rRNA from 1 species